rnacentral:rRNA from 1 species
AACGAACGCUGGCGGCAUGCCUAACACAUGCAAGUCGAACGAACCCUUCGGGGUGAGUGGCGCGCGGGUGCGUAACACGUGGGAACCUGCCCUUAGGUUCGGAAUAACACAGAGAAAUUUGUGCUAAUACCGGAAAUGUCUUCGGACCAAAGAUUUAUCGCCUUUGGAUGGGCCCGCGUAGGAUUAGCUAGUUGGUGAGGUAAAGGCUCACCAAGGCGACGAUCCUUAGCUGGUCUUAGAGGAUGAUCAGCCACACUGGGACUGAGACACGGCCCAGACUCCUACGGGAGGCAGCAGUGGGGAAUAUUGGACAAUGGGCGAAAGCCUGAUCCAGCAAUGCCGCGUGAGUGAUGAAGGCCUUAGGGUUGUAAAGCUCUUUUACCUGGGAUGAUAAUGACAGUACCAGGAGAAUAAGCCCCGGCUAACUCCGUGCCAGCCGCCGCCGUAAAAC